AUGCUCACUUCCGCAGCACAUAUACUAAAAUUGGAACGAUACAGAGAUUGGUAUGGCCCUUGGGCAAGGAUGACAUGCGAAUUCAUGAAGUGUUCCAUAUUUUU